rnacentral:rRNA from 1 species
UACGUAGGGUGCGAGCGUUGUCCGGAAUUAUUGGGCGUAAAGGGCGCGUAGGCGGCCCUGUGUGUCGGGUGUGAAAGCCCACCUCUUAAAGGUGGAAUUGCAUUCGAAACUACAGGGCUGGAGUGUCGGAGAGGAUGGCGGAAUUCCUGGUGUAGAGGUGAAAUUCGUAGAUAUCAGGAGGAACACCGGUGGCGAAGGCGGCCAUCUGGACGACAACUGACGCUGAGGCGCGAAAGCGUGGGGAUCAAACAGGG